GUCUUUCUGGAUAACUCAGCUGAAUAGAGCGUGGUGCUGAUAACGCCAAGGUUGCAGGUUCCAUCCCUGCAUGGGGCA